rnacentral:rRNA from 1 species
UGAGCAAUCUGCCCUUCUCAUCGGAAUAAGCGUUGGAAACGACGUCUAAUGCCGAAUACGACCUCCUUUCACAUGAUCGGAGGUGGAAAGCUCCGGCGGUGAAGGAUGAGCUCGCGGCCUAUCAGCUAGUUGGUGAGGUAAUAGCUCACCAAGGCAACGACGGGUAGCCGGCCUGAGAGGGUGACCGUCCACACUGGGACUGAGACACGGCCCAGACUCCUAGUGA